GCAUAGGCAUCGGUCAAGCAUAUAAAUACCAAGCAUGGCGGCCAUGCAAUCCCAUCGGGUCAUGCCAAGUCAUGUCACCCCUAGGUCAUAUCCUGAGCGGCCAACUAUGCACCGUGCUAAGAAGUUAUGCUAAACCAAGCCAUCUCAGAGUCAUUAAUUACACCACAUGUGGUAAAGCCCACUGCUGUGGCCCCUGACAAGAUGCGAUAGAUUGAGGUAGCUGGGAGGGCUAGGAAUGGCUCCCCUCUUCCUCUCAUUUAUAGCUCUUUCCUCGA
rnacentral:lncRNA from 1 species